AACUUCCUGUUUUGAAUACUAACGAGGAACAGAACGGGACAUGUUUUGAAUGGAGGACCAGGCUAUCAUGUGAGAGUUAUCGCAAUGGAAAGUUUUUAAAAAGUGCGAUACAUAAAUGUUCGAACAGCUGACGAUAUGUUACGACAAGCCUUCGGUCUAAGUGGCCUGUUAAUGUGAAGUCUGAGAAGAACGCGAAAUAGUCUACAAACGUCUUACUACAGAUGUUCUAACUCCCUAAGGGUUUGAUUUAAUGGCAACUUAGUUCAACAGCAGUUACACCCAUGGCGUCAUCUUUACAGAGCGCCUUGACAGGAGAGGACCCAGAAGAGGCUGCAAGUGGCUUCUCUCCUGAAGCUCAGGAUGGGAAAAUUGUAGCUCAGGGUGGAGGCCAUGU